CAUGUAGGUGGUUAUUUAAGUCAGGUGUUAAAGCUAGAAGCUCAACUUCUAUUCGCGCCUGAAACUAAAUAACUUUGAGAUUGGGAGAGGAUAGCGGAACUCACAGUGUAGCGGUGAAAUGCGUAGAUAUUGUGAGGAACACCAGUGGCGAAGGCGGCUAUCUGGACCAAUACUGACACUGAGAUGCGAAAGCAUGGGGAGCAAACAGGAUUAGAUACCCUGGUAGUCC
rnacentral:rRNA from 1 species